rnacentral:rRNA from 1 species
GAUGAACGCUGGCGGCGUGCCUAAUACAUGCAAGUCGAGCGAACAGACGAGGAGCUUGCUCCUCUGACGUUAGCGGCGGACGGGUGAGUAACACGUGGAUAACCUACCUAUAAGACUGGGAUAACUUCGGGAAACCGGAGCUAAUACCGGAUAAUAUAUUGAACCGCAUGGUUCAAUAGUGAAAGACGGUUUUGCUGUCACUUAUAGAUGGAUCCGCGCCGCAUUAGCUAGUUGGUAAGGUAACGGCUUACCAAGGCAACGAUGCGUAGCCGACCUGAGAGGGGGAUCCGGCACACCGGAACCGAGACAAGGUCCCGACCCCUAAGGGAGGCAGCCGUAGGGAAACUUCCGCAAAGGGCGGAAGCCUGAAGGAGCAAAGGCGGGGGGGGGAAGAAGGUCCUCGGAUCGUAAAACUCUGUUAUUAGGGAAGAACAAAUGUGUAAGUAACUAUGCACGUCUUGACGGUACCUAAUCAGAAAGCCACGGCUAACUACGUG